rnacentral:rRNA from 1 species
CAGUCGCCGCGGUAAUACGUAGGGUGCAAGCGUUAAUCGGAAUUACUGGGCGUAAAGCGUGCGCAGGCGGUUUUGUAAGACAGAGGUGAAAUCCCCGGGCUCAACCUGGGAACUGCCUUUGUGACUGCAAGGCUAGAGUACGGCAGAGGGGGAUGGAAUUCCGCGUGUAGCAGUGAAAUGCGUAGAUAUGCGGAGGAACACCGAUGGCGAAGGCAAUCCCCUGGGCCUGUACUGACGCUCAUGCACGAAAGCGUGGGGAGCAAACAGGAUUAGAUACCCCGGUAGUCCCUGUCUCUUAUAU